UACGGAGGGUGCAAGCGUUAUCCGGAUUCACUGGGUUUAAAGGGUGCGUAGGUGGGCAGGUAAGUCAGUGGUGAAAUCUCCGGGCUUAACCCGGAAACUGCCGUUGAUACUAUCUGUCUUGAAUGUAGUGGAGGUGAGCGGAAUAUGUCAUGUGGCGGUGAAAUGCUUAGAUAUGACAUAGAACAUCGAUUGCGAAGGCAGCUCGCUACACUAUGAUUGACACUGAGGCACGAAAGCGUGGGGAUCAAACAGG
rnacentral:rRNA from 1 species